CAGCGGCCCUAGUGGUGAUCGUUAUUAUUGGGCCUAAAGCGUCCGUAGCCGGUUCGGUAAAUCUCUGGGUAAAUCGUUGGGCUUAACUCAACGAAUUCUGGGGAGACUGCCGAACCUGGGACCGGGAGAGGUCGGAGGUACUCCAGGGGUAGGGGUGAAAUCCUGUAAUCCUUGGGGGACCACCGGUGGCGAAAGCGUCCGACCAGAACGGGUCCGACGGUAAGGGACGAAGCCCUGGGGCGCGAACCGGAUUAGAUACCCGAGUAGUCC
rnacentral:rRNA from 1 species